rnacentral:rRNA from 1 species
UACGAACUGUGCAAACGUUAUUCGGAAUCACUGGGCUUACAGGGUGCGUAGGCGGCCUGUCAAGUAGGGUGUGAAAGCCCCCGGCUCAACCGGGGAAUGGCGCCCUAAACUGUCGGGCUGGAGUGAGAUAGGGGUGUGCGGAACUUCCGGUGGAGCGGUGAAAUGCGUUGAUAUCGGAAGGAACGCCGGUGGCGAAAGCGACGCACUGGACCUCUUCUGACGCUGAGGCGCGAAAGCCAGGGGAGCAAACGGG